CUGGUUUAGGGGUUGCGAUCCACAGCUGAGCGGCGCUAUCGCAAGUCACGACCAGAUCCUGCCAUACUAUGUGAAAACCUACUUGAUAAAAUUCAGGGGAUUCACUGGAAUCUUUCUCACUUCUAUCGUCAGCGCCGCGUUAAGCACGACAUCGUCCAUCGUCAACUCGCAAGCUGCCGUCCUCUAUGUCGACAUACUCUCUCCGCACUUCAAGAUCUUCGAAUCUAAUGUCCGUUGGACAACCCGCGGCAUCGGUUUGUGAUGACGCUAACUAUGAACUGCA
rnacentral:lncRNA from 1 species